UUCUGAUAUCUUUUAAUACACAUUUCUUUAAAAAUAAAAUCAAAACCAUUCUUGUCCUCAAGAAAUAUUUGGAAGAAUAUUACUAACACUAACACAGCAAGGUAUAGGAACAUUUGAGCGUUCAUGUUGUAGGUUUAUAGAGAUACUGUACUCAGAACCUAAGGCUGUAAAUACAUAUAUUUUCAAAGUAACUUAGUCACAGUUGGUGAGAGGGGGAGAUUGUAAUGGAAAAGCACAAUUUGCAUAACUUCAGCUGUGUGUUUGGGGGGGGGGGGGUACCAAAUGCAACAAUUUGCAAACAUAUACAUAGAAAGAGAAAGCUAUAUAUAAAUAUGCAGAGACAUUUGGCACAGGGUGAAGCCUGUUAACAGGAAGAAGACCUGAGAUUAAACAUGGACACACCACUAUGAAGACAAACAGCAUGAGUUUGGGGAGGUGUAAGUGGCAACUGAAAAGCCAGUCUGUUAGCCUCCACAAUUGCUACCAAUGUUACCGCACUCCAGCAAUAGGGACAAUACUGACUACUUGACAGCUCGGUUGAGAGGACUGCAAAAAGAUCACACAUGUGAAGCACUAAGAACAUUCAACAGCACUAUAUGGAUAAUUUAAUGCUUAAUAUAUUUCCUAUAUUCAAAAUUCUCCACACUACUUUCUUCCAUCACUUUGAAAGGCAAUAUUAUCCCCAUAAGGGAAAGUCUUGCUGGAGUGAAAGAAAAGCGAUUCAAAGCAGGGACUUCCCUGUUCUGUCUUUUAAGCACUAGGACAACCAACCUGCCAUUUAAGCCUACACUUCACAAUACAACAAGUUUGGAAAGGUACAUAAUUAUAAUCCACAAAUAAAUCCAUUCUGACUCAGGUAGAUCACAUCCAGUAAACAGAGAACCAUUUCCCUUCCCCAGUGAUGUUUGAGAAAUCGACACUGAUAGACUACAAUAGACACAAGGAGAGAACUGCUCAGGGAAGUACGUGGGUCACACAGAGAUUUUGCUUUCCUGGGGUACCCUGUACAGUGGUAGCGCUGAAGGAAACGCCGGGCGGCGAUCGGAGGAGUCCACCCUUCAUUCUAGGCUCGCCUUGGGACGGGAGCAACCCCAUGAAAGCGCUCCCGGCCCGUUGAAACGGGAGAGGACCCGGCGGCGCCUUCAAGGCUAAAACAAACCUGGUCGGCGAUGGAGCCUGGGCACCGGGCGGGUUUUGGAAGGCGCCCGCGGGUCACCUUGGAGCCCCUUCCACGGAGCGCCAGGCAGCCGCGCAGCAGAGGCGCCGCCUCGGGUUCCUUUUCCUGGCUCCGCGCUGCCAACCUGCCCGCCUUCCUGAAACCCUUGCAACUCCCGACCAAAGACAAUCCGGCGGAAUAUGCCACACACGAGUGAGGAGACGCGAGGGGCUUCUUGUGGGCUCCGAGGGUCAAGAGAGAAGCCGAGCGGAGGAGGGAGAGAGGCAGGGAGAGGCGGCGUGAUCUCAACGGGAGGGAAGGGGAGGGAGGAAAAGGGAUCAAGCGGGUAGA
rnacentral:lncRNA from 1 species